AGACCCGAAACCCGGUGAUCUAGCCAUGGGCAGGUUGAAGGUUGGGUAACACUAACUGGAGGACCGAACCGACUAAUGUUGAAAAAUUAGCGGAUGACCUGUGGCUGGGGGUGAAAGGCCAAUCAAACCGGGAGAUAGCUGGUUCUCCCCGAAAGCUAUUUAGGUAGCGCCUCGUGAAUUCAUCUCCGGGGGUAGAGCACUGUUUCGGCUAGGGGGCCAUCCCGGCUUACCAACCCGAUGCAAACUGCGAAUACCGGAGAAUGUUAUCACGGGAGACACACGGCGGGUGCUAACGUCCGUCGUGAAGAGGGAAACAACCCAGACCGCCAGCUAAGGUCCCAAAGUCAUGGUUAAGUGGGAAACGAUGUGGGAAGGCCCAGACAGCCAGGAUGUUGGCUUAGAAGCAGCCAUCAUUUAAAGAAAGCGUAAUAGCUCACUGGUCGAGUCGGCCUGCGCGGAAGAUGUAACGGGGCUAAACCAUGCACCGAAGCUGCGGCAGCGAACGUAUCACUUAAAGCGAUUCAGCGGGUUACGAUUGACGGAGCGAA
rnacentral:rRNA from 1 species